CACCAAAUAGCUUAAAGUAAGCAAAAGCCUCUUAAGCUUAGGAAUACUAGUUAACGCCUAGUUUUGGUGA
rnacentral:tRNA from 1 species